UCGUCGAUGAUUUUUAAUGCAAGCGAUUAGUCCCAACGAGCGAGCGAACAAAAGAACGCUAGAGAAAGCGAGCGAGAGAGCAAAAUAUAGUUAGCGUGAGAGCGAACGAACGAACGCGCGAGCGUUUUCCAUGCAGAUCAACAGUCCGACGACCGACCACCGACGACUGAACUACGAAAACAUCCGUCGGAGAGGGGACAGAAAGCUAUUCGCUUUAAUAUUUCUGAAACUCGUCGUUAUAGGCUCGCCACGCUUGGGCGCAGAAGGUGGUGUGAUCGCACCUAUAUAGAAGCGGCGAUUGUUUUUCGACAUACUGUAACCACAAUGACGCGGCACAGAAAGCGGAAAGCGUCCGAAACGAGAGAGGAAACUGAAAUGCCUUGCGGAACGCCCAGUGGCAACUUCCAGCUCGCCACUCUUGCUGCAGAUGGAGUGGCUAAAGAACAAUGGAAGAGCGCGCGGCGUCUGGCUCUGCGCAACAUGAUUCACGGGUCGAGAACUACGAAAGCGCAAUGCGCACGACACGCAAGACGCGCACACCAAGGCGCCACACCACGGCGCGUCACGAGCACAUCGAAAUUGGAUUUCACCGCUCUUUCUGCGCACGCGCGAGGAGCAGUGGUUGCGAGAGAGAAAUGUGGGGACUUUAGGUGCUCAAAAUUUCUCGUCGUUUAGGUACUAUGAAGAAAACCGUUUGCUCCGUUUGUCCCUAGCCGAGCUUGCAGCACAGAAUCGACAGGAUGCGUGGCCGGCAAGGCGAAAAAGCCGCGUCCGAGCUACCAGCGUAGUGCAUCAAUGCGUCUACUUCGACAAAAUGGAGCACCAGUGCAGAUAUCUGGGCUUACCUGUCCAAGGCAGCAAGUGUGGCUACAUUGAAACCACUACCAGCAUGUGCGGCUGUUCUGUUUCCAGCCGGACUGCAGAAUAUUCAGUAGUGUGCUCUCAAGCUGUUCAUCGAUGAAGCUCUGCCUGGCCUGUGUGCCAAAUAUUUUUGGACGUGAAAGUGGGGGUGAACUGGUAAGCAUCAGUGGAACUGUGCCUGGACUCUGUGGCAAAUAUUUUUGGAUGUGAAAGUGUGGGCUAACUGGCUAAGAAUUGGCUCUGGACUACAUGUGUUAAACCUUUUUCUCAUUCAGAGUGCUUUUUUAUUUAUUUUAUUUUUUAUUUUAGGAGACUGGAGAUGUGUGCAAAGUGUGACAUGUCAGUGGGCUAAUUAAUGUAUUUGCUGGUUUGCAAAUUAUUCUUUGCAACUUUGUUUUUUGCCAGAGUAGUACAAAUUUGCCUCUUGUACGGGGCUUUGUAGAUAAACCAAUUACUAUUUAUUAUGACCAUUGCUUCCUUUGUUACACAAAUGCAGCUUCCAGUGCAUUCCAGUUUAUUUCCAUGUUUAUGUAAGUUUCUAAUAUGAGACUUGCAUAUUCAUUUCUCACGUUCUGGAGUGGCAAGAUGCAGCAUUACUCAGUCUCAUCGUUCACCGUACUACAGUCGUGCUUACUUGUUACACUGACUCCCCCGUUUAAGUAUUCUGUACUAGUUUCACUUUAUUGCUUUUUUGUUGUAUAGUUCUUUUUCUAGCCAUUACCUUCUGUGAUAUAUCCUAAAGGCAAUAUUUCCAAUUUUGCAUUGUUCCCAUUGUUUGAUUUCUGUCACAGGAUUGUUUUAUGAUGGUAUGCGGUGGUAUUUCUUAUUGUGCUCUUUUCAAGCUUCUAGCUGAUUGGUAACGUUGCUUGGAGGUAGUUACCAUCCGAUUCAAGCUCUUGCAUUUUUCAGUCUACUUCUUCCAUUCGCUCCGAUGUCACUUCUGGAUAACUCUAGUCCAUCUAAUAGCACGUGCUCUUUACUAUGAUAAAUGAGAAACUUUAGUACACUCCAUGUUUUUCUGUUCAUUUUUGUAUGUGUACUUGGAAUUUUGUUUAUGUACUAGUGAAUGCUCACUUUCGAGUUCAUUACAAAUCCUUUCUGCGAUUUUUGUCAUUGUUGAUGUACUUUUACUUCUAUUUGCAUUUCUCACACAUUUUGCUUGAAUUUUGCAUAAGCAUUACAUUUUAAUAAAGUGUUUUUGCUUGGU